UCUCGGAUAGCUUAACGGUAGAGCAGUUGGCGCGACACCAAAAGAUCCAGGUUUGAUUCCUGGAUUAAUCUUAAAU
rnacentral:tRNA from 1 species